rnacentral:rRNA from 1 species
GUCCACACCGUAAACGAUGGAUACUAGGUGUAGGGGAUAUUAAGUCUUCUGUGCCGUCGCAAACGCAGUAAGUAUCCCACCUGGGGAGUACGGCCGCAAGGUUGAAACUCAAAGGAAUUGACGGGGGCCCGCACAAGCAGUGGAGUAUGUGGUUUAAUUCGACGCAACGCGAAGAACCUUACCAAGGCUUGACAUAUACAGGAAUAACUAAGAAAUUAGUUAGCUCUUCGGAGUCUGUAUACAGGUGGUGCAUGGUUGUCGU